ensembl:lncRNA
AUUAACUAUCAUAAACUAUAUAUCAUUUGAAAGCUAAAACACUCAAUAUCCAUGUUCUGAGCUUGUUUUUUAAAUCAAUACACCAGAGAGGAAAGGGUUAACAUAAAUGCUGAAGGACCGGCCAUUUAAACAUGUACAAAGUGCACGGCAGUACUUACGUUUCAUCGCCUAUAGUUCUGGUCUGCUCGGACUAUUCCAAGAAACACCAGCACACAUUUCAAGGUAAGGGUCUACUCUUCAAGAUGCAUCCCACUUUUUAAUCCAAAACAACGAAAAAAUAGGGGGAAAAACGAAAGAUCCUCCUUUGUUUACAUGAGCGAUUCGAGUUAUAGUUGUCGAUAGCGUCCAUUUUCAAAGAAAUAUCGAUUCUAAUUCGUAUUCCAGCUUUUGUUUCCUAUAGAAUGGUCUUUUCCGAGCAAAAUGAGCCCUCCCUCGUCUCUCUCCUUCAAUCACAGGCGAUGUUAUAACCCAGAACAGGCCAGGAGUCACUGACUGGUUUAGCGAGGUGCCAAUCACCGCACCUCAGUUUUGGCUGUUGUAAACUAGCCAAUGCCUAGCCAGCAAUGUUUUGAUGGAUUGAAGUGUUAGCCAAUCACAAGGACGCUUACAGUGAUUCACAGUUUGCACCGUUUCGUAAUCAGUUUGAAGAUUCAGCGAGCGCAAAAGUUGCUGUGUGUCCGUGCGCUCUCGUCUUUACACCUGUGGCGCACUCAAAGCGGCGCAGCAGCGCUACACGGGUAUCUAUCAGCGAGCGGAUUUUCUCCACAGCUUGCAUCUGAAUCUCUCCAGCAAAGAACGUCGACUUUAGAAGAGUUUUUGUGGUGUUUGAUCGUGUUUUGGAGGCCGUGAUGAGAAGCAGCGGCGAAGAGCAGCAGAAAGACCCGGAGAGAUGCAUGCAGCCAGGGAUAGCAUUAGCACUGACUUUGGUGUCCAGUUGGUCAAAGAACAAACCUUUUUAGUGACUGCCUUGAGUGUCUUCCUACACUGUAAAUACUGUAAAUAGUUGCUUUUAGUUUUUCAGUAACUUGAUAUUCAUAAUAAUUAGCAGAGAAAAAAAAAAGUACAAUUACAAAAUGUAAAAUAAAUAAAUAAAUUGUAUUUUGCAUGUUUUGUGUUCAUUCACUCUAAAAUGAUCACUGAUCAAAUCUGUUUUCAUUAUUAGAAUUGUUCAAAAUAAAUAUUUUUUUUCUUGUGUAUUAUGGUUGGCAGAGCAGUUCUGAACUGAUAUACAUAUAUGUAUUAUGCAGUUUUGCCUCAUUUGGUCAUUUGGUUACCAGGUGUACAUUUGGAGUCUCCAAAUGGCUUUUUUGAAAGGACGCUGUGACGAGUCAGCUGCCUCCUCCCUGAUAAUCACCGGCACCCCGUCCUAAAUCGCCG